GCUCAUUUUACUUAGCUGCUGAAGAAGGAGAGUCGCAUUCAGCCAGGGAUCACUGAGCAUUCAAAAGUCCAUCUGAGACCUGCUUUCAUUGCACUGCCUCGUGAGGAGCUGUAGGAGAAGAUAUCAUAACUAUUCCCCACUUCUAAUUGUUAGAAGCAACAGCUGUCUAUCAAGAACAAUCUGAGGAUUGUGCACAAAUUGAUUUGGUUCUAUCAAGUGCUGGCUUUCGAUUCCAGUCUGACUUCACUACCACAGGAGCUUCUUGCUCAGGCUUCUGUUCCGGCUCCAUUCUCUCCCUGCCAUUAUAAUGCCAUCCACUGCAGCACCAUCUCUUCAAUCAGAACCAAGAAAAGGGGCAGAAUAAGUGAGAGAAUGAACGAGAAUGAAAAAAAGAAUAGAACCAGUCGGCCAGUGACAUUUUCUAGUGAAACACAUAUGGGAUGCAAGAAAAGGACUCAGAAAAGCCUUGGGAGUAAAUAUUGAAAUGAUCUUGAAUGAUUUGGCAGGAGAAGAUGUGUCAGCAGGGCUUACCGUAUAGCUCCGAAGGAUGGUGAUGACGACACCACAGACCAAGAUAGUUUACAAAGGCUUAAUGGAGCUCAGAUAUUUGAGAAAAAAAAAAAAAAGAUUAACCAUAUUCAGCUGAGAAAAGGGAACACAAACACAUCUGGGGAAAGUAAUCUUAAAUAAAGAUACUCAGAUGGAGAAAAACAUGUGUCAAGCCUGGACCUGGAGUAAAAGCAGACAGAAAAAAUUUGAGUUGCAAGGGAUUACAACAGCUCAGAAAGGAAAACAUUCAUGAUCUCAUUCCACCUGAAGCCAGUGCCUCUGUAAUGUGUAGCAGAAUCCUAUGGAGAAGUUGUAAAAACACAAAAUGUUGGCCCCACCCCAAGAGUUUCUGAUUUUGCAGGUCUGGAGAGGGCCUGUGAUACGUACUUCUAACAAGCUCCCAGGCGAUGCUAAUGUUGCUGGUCUAGAAACACACUUUGAGAGCCACUGUUUUACAAUGUAUUCACCCAGCUUAUGCAAUCAACUACUAUCACAGCAAAGUCCAAAGAAUGCUCCUUAUUUGUUUGUUAUACUGGAGUUUGGCUUGGCUAAAUAUUAUUUGAAACUGAAUGGCUGUUGA
rnacentral:lncRNA from 1 species